rnacentral:rRNA from 1 species
GACGAACGCUGGCGGCGUGCUUAACACAUGCAAGUCGAACGAUGACGACCGAGCUUGCUCGGUCUGAUUAGUGGCGAACGGGUGAGUAACACGUGAGCAACCUGCCCUUCACUCUGGGAUAACCUCGGGAAAUCGGGGCUAAUACCGGAUAUGAGCUCCUGUCGCAUGGCGGGUGUUGGAAAGUUUUUCGGUGAAGGAUGGGCUCGCGGCCUAUCAGUUUGUUGGUGAGGUAGUGGCUCACCAAGGCGAUGACGGGUAGCCGGCCUGAGAGGGCGACCGGCCACACUGGGACUGAGACACGGCCCAGACUCCUACGGGAGGCAGCAGUGGGGAAUAUUGCACAAUGGGCGAAAGCCUGAUGCAGCGACGCCGCGUGAGGGAUGACGGCCUUCGGGCUGUAAACCUCUUUCAGCAGGGAAGAAGCGAAAGUGACGGUACCUGCAGAAGAAGCGCCGGCUAACUACGUG